rnacentral:rRNA from 1 species
UCGUAGGUGAACCUGCGGAAGGAUCAUUAAUGAAAUUAUAAUCCGGCGAGGGAAAGGCGGAGAGUUGUAGCUGGCCCRAGGGCAUGUGCACGCUCUCUUCUGGACUUUCGCCGUAUGGGCGCGGGGCGACCCGCGUCUUCAUAUACCUCUUCGUGUAGAAAGUCUUUGAAUGUUAURARCAUCAUCGAGUCGCGACUUCUAGGAGACGCGAUUCUUUGAGACAAAAGUUAUUACAACUUUCAGCAACGGAUCUCUUGGCUCUCGCAUCGAUGAAGAACGCAGCGAAUCGCGAUAUGUAAUGUGAAUUGCAGAUCUACAGUGAAUCAUCGAAUCUUUGAACGCACCUUGCGCUCCUCGGUGUUCCGAGGAGCAUGCCUGUUUGAGUGUCAGUAAAUUCUCAACCCCUCUCGAUUUGCUUCGAAAGGGUGCUUGGAUGUUGGGGGCUGCCGGAGACACUGGAYUCGUCCAGGACUCGGGCUCCUCUUAAAUGAAUCGGCUUGCGGUCGACUUUCGACUUUGCAUGACAAGGCCUUUGGCGUGAUAAUGAUCGCCGUUCGCCGAAGUGCAAGACAGAACGGUCCCGUGCCUCUAAUGCGUCGACGCCUCUCGGGGCCGUCUUCCUCAUUGACGUUUGACCUCAAAUCAGGUAGGACUACCCGCUGAACUUAAGCAUAUCAUA